AUAUAUAUAUAUAUAUAUAAACUUCUUUAACUGAGACGGUAGUUUCAAUACCAUAUAAUCAAGUACCAAUCAUGGUGAUAGUCAUAAAACUACCAUAACAAGGCUAAUAAUGAUCUUAAUAGCAAUGGUAAAAGCAGUAACUAACAAAACUUAUCUCUAAUGCCAAAGCAAAAGGAAUCAUCCAAUUCUUUCAUUGAUCAUUAUAGCAGCUUCCCUUUUAACAUGGUAAGGAAGUGAUACUUAUCAAAAGAAAAAUAAGAAGAUGAAGACGGCAGUAAGGUAGCUGAAAUGAAUUAAAUGCAUGCCAUACAUAAAUAGUAUCUGAAGCAAUUGCUUCCAAUUUGGAGGCAGAAGCCGCAUAGAAUACGGUAGUACACUGAUCACCUUAGCAUACCAUUGAGAAUACAGUUGAUGUGAUGCUAAAACAGGAGUAUCAAGCAAAAGUCAAUUAAAUCUUUCACAAUCCCAAUUCAAUUAAAGCAACCAAAGGAGAGGCCUUAGGCUAAAGCUAGCUAAGGUUUAGGCCGUGGAGCCAAGAGGCUCAGGUCCAAAUACUAUUUGCAUGAUUUGAUUAUUUAUUUGCGGACGUUUACUUUGCUACGCAAGUUUACUUUGGCUUAGAUAAACUGCAGACAUAUCUAUUAUGAUUAUUGUUAUAUAACAGUCUAUCUACUUGGGGGGACAUAGACACACACUUACAUCCCAAAGAUAGCUAAGCUGACCAGCUAAAAGUCGAGCAAAGCCUCCAUCAUGUCUCACAGAUGGAGGCUUAGUAGCUCACUUAGUAGCUCACUUGAAUGUGUAAUUAAAGUGAAAAAUAAAAAAGACUCAAUUCAAAGACCAUAGGCAGCAACACAAAGCUACCAUUUAACUGUCAAAAUUAAGAAUAUCAUCAUUGAAAAUCCUCCAUAGAUGAAGAUUCAAAUCCUAUAACAAAAAUUUAGAACAAAUGUAACAAACUGAAGUACCC
rnacentral:lncRNA from 1 species